GGUCAGGACGAACGCUGGCGGCGCGCCUAACACAUGCAAGUCGAACGGACAAAAUUCUUCGGAAUUUGUUAGUGGCGGACGGGUGAGUAACACGUGAGCAACCUGCCUUACAGAGGGGGAUAACGUUCGGAAACGAACGCUAAUACCGCAUGAAAUGAUGAAACUGCAUAGUUUUAUCAUCAAAGAUUUAUCGCUGUAAGAUGGGCUCGCGUCUGAUUAGAUAGUUGGUGAGGUAACGGCUCACCAAGUCGACGAUCAGUAGCCGGACUGAGAGGUUGAACGGCCACAUUGGGACUGAGACACGGCCCAGACUCCUACGGGAGGCAGCGGUGGGGGAUAUUGCACAAUGGGGGAAACCCUGAUGCAGCGACGCCGCGUGAGGGAAGAAGGUUUUCGGAUUGUAAACCUCUGUCUUGUGGGACGAUAAUGACGGUACCACAGGAGGAAGCCACGGCUAACUACGUGCCAGCAGCCGC
rnacentral:rRNA from 1 species